GGGGGAUUAGCUCAGUUGGCUAGAGUGUCUCGAUGGCAUCGAGAAGGUCGGGGGUUCGAAUCCCCCAUUCUCCACUA
rnacentral:tRNA from 1 species